rnacentral:rRNA from 1 species
CUGGUUUACCGGUUGUGGCGCCAGCUGCAUUGCCGGGUAGCUAAGUCUGGGCAGGGAUAAGCGUUGAAAGCAUCUAAGUGCGAAGCCUCCCUCAAGAUGAGAUUUCCUAUUGCAUAAGCAAGUAAGACACCUCAAAGACUAAGAGGUAGAUAGGCUGGAAGUGGAAGAGUCGUGAGACUCGGAGCAGACCAGUACUAAUCAGUCGAGGACUUGACCAAAA